CCCGAAAGCGUUAAUGGAGACGUUAACCGUACAGGGUACAGGCUCAUAGUCGCGCGACUCCUGCGGCUCCGGGGUGAAUGUUCGCCGUUGCUAUGGUCACAGUCUUCAUUAUAAGCGACUGAAUGCUUGUUCUGGACAAGGUUGCAGGGGACUGGACCCCAUCCCAGGCCGCACCAGGCAGGGUUUGGCUCGUUCAUUCCUUUGCUGUAGUGCAGCGUUUCGCAAACCGUUACACGGGGAACCCCAGACAGUCCACGUUUUUGCUACUUACUGGGAGCUGGGAGGGAGCAAAUAUGUGGACCGUCUGCGGGUCUCCAAGAAGCAGGCUGGGAAACACUGAUCUAUCAAGGACCAUGGGCUCCCAGCUGAAGGCUUCACCUAAGGACCAAGCAGGAGAUGAACCUACAAGCAAACCACAUCUCACUUACUUCUUGUUGUGUCCCAUCAUUUUCCCCAAAGCCUAAACUGAGUGACACAUGAGAACUGACCUCAUUUUAGUUUUGCUUCUAUAAAUGUCAAUAUUUUAACGAUGCUGAUGGUGAUCCAUUAAUUAUCAUUUCUUCUAGCAGCUUAUUAUCAUCCUUUAAUCUCCAGUUUAGUAAACGCUGACAUAAGAUGAGAGAUUACCAGUAUAUAAGCUGAAUAUAGAAAAUCUGCAGAUAUUGUUGCCAUUUGUUUUUCUCAUCUUCCACUGUUGGAAAUUGCCUUUCUCUCUUUUCCUGACUCUUAAAUAAUAGUGUUCUAAAAAUACAGGCAAAGUAAGGCUGAUAUUCUAGUCUGACAUCCAUAAAUUUCAUGUACUUUGAUAAAUAAAGGGGAAAUCUGCAUAUUUUCCACCAUAUUAACACAUUUGUCACAAAACUGAAAAGUCCAGGAUGGUCGAUCAUCUAAAUCCCUGUUGUGUAAAUAUAUUUCUGUCUGAAACUAGUUUGCUAGCCAUUAAAUAUCCGUUAAACGUU